rnacentral:rRNA from 1 species
UGAGUACGAGACGCUACGGCGUCGAACAGUCUAUGUCAUACUUCCAAGAAAAGCUUGCACUGUCAUAAACAAAUAAUGCCUGUACCAUAACCGACACAGGUGGGUAGGUAGAGUAUACUAAGGGGCGCGAGAUAACUCUCUCUAAGGAACUCGGCAAAAUGACUCCGUAACUUCGGGAGAAGGAGUGCCUUAUUCUUAAGGUUGCAAUAACAAGAUCCAAGCAACUGUUUAUCAAAAACACAGGUCUCCGCUAAGUCGUAAGACGAUGUAUGGGGGCUGACGCCUGCCCAGUGCCAGAAGGUUAAAGAAGUUGGUUAGCAUUCGCGAAGCUGAUAACUGAAGCCCUGGUGAACGGCGGCCGUAACAAUAACGGUCCUAAGGUAGCGAAAUUCCUUGUCGGGUAAGUUCCGACCCGCACGAAAAGCGUAAUGAUUUUGAUACUGUCUCGGAGAGGGGCUCGGUGAAAUAGACUUGUCUGUGAAGAUGCGGACUACCUGCACCUGGACAGAAAGACCCUAUGAAGCUUUACUGUAACUUGAAAUUGAAAUUGGACUUUAUUUGCGCAGUAUAGGUGGGAGGCGUUGAGAAUAUUCUUGCGGGAAUAUUGGAGCCAUCAGUGAGAUACCACUCUUGUAAUGUUAGAUUUCUAACUUUGAAUCAUUAUCUGGUCAAAGGACAGUUUCAGGCGGGCAGUUUGACUGGGGCGGUCGCCUCCUAAAUGGUAACGGAGGCGCACAAAGGUUUCCUCUGAACGGGUAGAAAUCGUAUCUAGAGUGUAAAGGCAUAAGGAAGCUUGACUGUGAGACCUACAAGUCGAGCAGGGACGAAAGUCGGUCUUAGUGAUCUGACGGUGCUGAGUGGAAAGGCCGUCACUCAACGGAUAAAAGUUACUCUAAGGAUAACAGGCUGAUCUCCCCCAAGAGUUCACAUCGACGGGGAGGUUUGGCACCUCGAUGUCGGCUCAUCGCAUCCUGGGGCGGUAGUACGUCCCAAGGGUUGGGCUGUUCGCCCAUGAAAGCGGUACGCGAGCUGGGUUCAGAACGUCGUGAGACAGUUCGGUCCAUAUCCGGUGUAGGCGUUAGAAUAUUGAGAGGAGCCUUCUUUAGUACGAGAGGACCGAGAAGGACAUACCUCUGGUGUACCAGUUAUCGUGCCAACGGUAAACGCUGGGUAGCUAUGUAUGGAGAGGAUAACCGCUGAAAGCAUCUAAGUGGGAAGCCCACCUCAAGAUAAGUAUUCUC